GCUCGCAUUACCGCCUGAGCUCCAUCUGCUGUCAGCAUUAUGCAAAGCUGUACGAUACAAUAUAGCCCUCUGCCAGCAGAUCUGUUACUAAAGGAAUUCAUGCAUCUUGCAUCUUGAAGAUGCAUUAUUAAUGCCUGGACAAAUCACAUCAGGUGAAACACAGCAAGUCCCUGGCACUGAAGAAAAGGAACAAAGGCUGGUUCUACAAGAGAGCAAUGGAUGAGACAAAUUAUAACAGCUGGGAGCCUCUUGUGAAUAGCUCUCAGAUGGCAGCUGCAUCAGGACAGCAGAGAGCAACAGUCGCCGUGGGCUGCUUUUCCAUCCAUUGGCUCAUAGAACACUCCAGCAAGAUUGUUCUGGAGUUCUCAUUCUCCUCCUUCCCAGUGCGUCUUGCUGCCGGGCUUCUGAGGCUGAUUUCCUACCUGUGUGCUCUCCUUCAUCAUCUGCAUUCCACCAUCCAUUAAGACACAGCCCAAGUUCUACUUGCAACCACUGCAGUCAAGAGCAAAACCAGUCCUUUCACUCAGCUGGAUCUCUCUUCAGUGGCCUUUUCUUUCUAUACCAUGGAUUGCUAUUUAAAGUUUUAUGUGUUUAUUGCCAAGUCUUUUACAUUAGCUCUGAAGCUACUAAGAGCAGAGACCAUCUCAUAAUAAAUAUUUGCUGUGCCUUGAGUAUGAGAACUGCUUAUACACUUAGGCACUGGUGUAUAGGUGUAUAAAUCAGUUGAUUAAUUAAUUAUGUGCUUUGCUAAUUUGGUUCUGUAAAAUGAUCAGUUGCCAUUUUGGACAACUAUUAGAAACUUCUGAAUUUUUGAAGAGAUUUCUGGGAAAUAUGUGGCCUAUUAUAAGAACUAGAUUUUUGAAUUUCUCUCUGUUUUGAGCUUCAGUGGAAACUAGCACGUAUGGUGAAAACAGGGAUAGUCAAUAAAUGCUGAAAGAAAGAACCAAUGAAUGAAUGACUGAGCAUUGAGUAUGUUUUUCUGUUCUUGGUCUUCUCCUUAGGCCACCUGUACGUAAGACCUCUCUAUUCUAUGCCUACAAAAGUUGAUCAUAAAAUUAUGUAAUCUUCAUUCUUAUGUUUAUUGUUUGUGAUUAUAA